rnacentral:rRNA from 1 species
AUUGAACGCUGGCGGCAUGCCUUACACAUGCAAGUCGAACGGUAACAGGCCGCAAGGUGCUGACGAGUGGCGAACGGGUGAGUAAUGCAUCGGAACGUGCCCAGUCGUGGGGGAUAACUGCUCGAAAGAGCAGCUAAUACCGCAUACGACCUGAGGGUGAAAGCGGGGGACCGUAAGGCCUCGCGCGAUUGGAGCGGCCGAUGUCAGAUUAGCUAGUUGGUGGGGUAAAGGCCUACCAAGGCAACGAUCUGUAGUUGGUCUGAGAGGACGACCAGCCACACUGGGAAUGAGACACGGCCCAGACUCCUACGGGAGGCAGCAGUGGGGAAUUUUGGACAAUGGGCGCAAGCCUGAUCCAGCCAUUCGGCGUGCAGGAUGAAGGCCCUCGGGUUGUAAACUGCUUUUGUACGGAACGAAAAGGCUCUGGUUAAUACCCGGGGCUCAUGACGGUACCGUAAGAAUAAGCACCGGCUAACUACGUGCCAGCAGCCGCCGUAACAC